rnacentral:sRNA from 1 species
GCCGGGUGUGGUGAUGUGCACCUGUAGUCCCAGCUCCUCGGGAGGCUGAGGUGGGAGAAUUGCUAGAGCCCAGGAGGCUGAGGCUGCAGUGAGCCAUGAUGGUGCCACUGCACUCCAGCCUGGGUGACAAAGUAAGACCCUGUCUCAA